rnacentral:rRNA from 1 species
UUGGAGAUAAGCUCGCGGACCAUUAGCUUGUUGGUAGGGUAACGGCCUACCAAGGCUGAGAUGGUUAGCUGGUCUGAGAGGAUGAUCAGCCACACUGGAACUGACAUACGGUCCAGACUCCUACGGGAGGCAGCAGUGAGGAAUUUUGCGCAAUGGGGGAAACCCUGACGCAGCAACGCCGCGUGAGUGAUGAAGGCCUUCGGGUCGUAAAGCUCUGUCAAGUGGGAAGAAACUGUUACGUGUUAAUAUCACGUUACACUGACGGUACCACUGAAGGAAGCACCGGCUAACUCCGUGCCAGCAGCCGCGGUAAUACGGGGGGUGCAAGCGUUAUUCGGAAUUAUUGGGCGUAAAGGGCGCGCAGGCGGUCUCUUAAGUCAGAUGUGAAAGCCCGGGGCUCAACCCCGGAAGUGCAUUUGAAACUAAGAGACUUGAGUAUGGGAGAGGGAAGUGGAAUUCCUGGUGUAGCGGUGAAAUGCGUAGAUAUCAGGAGGAACAUCGGUGGCGAAGGCGACUUCCUGGACCAAUACUGACGCUGAGGCGCGAAGGCGUGGGGAGCAAACAGGAUUAGAUACCCUGGUAGUCCACGCAGUAAACGGUGAACACUAGGUGUAGCGGGUAUUGACCCCUGCUGUGCCGCAGCUAACGCAUUAAGUGUUCCGCCUGGGGAGUACGAUCGCAAGAUUAAAACUCAAAUGAAUUGACGG